GUGGUGGCUCAGUGGUAGAGCGCUUGUCUAGCAUGUGUGAGGCCCUGGGAUCAAAUCUCAGUACCACA
rnacentral:tRNA from 1 species